GAUGAAGAACGUAGCGAAAUGCGAUACGUAAUGUGAAUUGCAGAAUUCAGUGAUUCAUCGAAUCUUUGAACGCAUAUUGCGCUCUCUGGUAUUCCGGAGAGCAUGCUUGUUUGAGUAUCAGUAAACACCUCAACUCCCUUUUCUUUUUUGAAAUGGGAGCUGGACUUGAGUGAUCCCAACACUUUUCUCACUGGAAAGUGGCGGGUCACUUGAAAUGCAGGUGCAGCUGGACUUUUCUCUGAGCUAUAAGCAUAUCUAUUUAGUCUGCCUAAAAAACAGAUUAUUACCUUUGCUGCAGCUAACAUAAAGGAGAUGAGUUCUUGUGCUGACUGAUGCAGGAUUCACAGAGACAGCUUUGCGGCUGACUUUGUAAACUCGAUCUCAAAUCAAGUAAGACUACCCGCUGAACUUAAGCAUAUCAAUAAGCGGAGGA
rnacentral:misc_RNA from 1 species